rnacentral:rRNA from 1 species
CUAACGGGUGAGUAAUGCGUGACCAACCUGCCCCAUGCUCCAGAAUAGCUCUUGGAAACGGGUGGUAAUGCUGGAUGCUCCAACUUGACGCAUGUCUUGUUGGGAAAGUGUUUAGUGGCAUGGGAUGGGGUCGCGUCCUAUCAGCUUGUAGGCGGGGUAAUGGCCCACCUAGGCUUCGACGGGUAGCCGGCCUGAGAGGGCGGACGGCCACAUUGGGACUGAGAUACGGCCCAGACUCCUACGGGAGGCAGCAGGC